rnacentral:lncRNA from 1 species
GGGGGGGGGGGGGGAGGUAGGGGAUAAGGGAUUUUCGGAGAGGAAACUUGGAAAGUUUGAAAUGUAAAUGAAGAAAACAUCUAAAAAUAUUGUUAACAAGUUAUAAAAAAGUUGUAUGUUUAUUUACUGUCUGUUAUAUAAAUGCAAAAAUCAUAAUUAUACAAGUAAACUUAAUUACUCUGAUACCUUUGUUCAAAUUUAUAGCUUUAUCCUCACAUAUUUGUAUAAUUACCAAUGCUGUAAACACUUUAAAAGAAUGAGUAAAGAUCAGUGUUCUGCUGAAAAAAUAAAAAAGCUUUGAUCAACUUAUUGUGUUUUAAACUUAAUAAAAAUAAAAGUUUUCCUAUUUUA